UACGAAGGGGGCUAGCGUUGCUCGGAAUGACUGGGCGUAAAGGGCGCGUAGGCGGUUUGUUUCGUUAGGCGUGAAAUUCCUGGGCUCAACCUGGGGGACUGCGCUUAAGACAAGCAGACUGGAGUGUGAAAGAGGGUCGUGGAAUUCCCAGUGUAGAGGUGAAAUUCGUAGAUAUUGGGAAGAACACCGGUGGCGAAGGCGGCGACCUGGUUCAUUACUGACGCUGAGGCGCGAAAGCGUGGGGAGCAAACAGG
rnacentral:rRNA from 1 species